CGAAAGCCUGACGGAGCAACGCCGCGUGAGUGAUGAAGGGUUUCGGCUCGUAAAACUCUGUUAUUAGGGAAGAACAAACGUGUAAGUAACUGUGCACGUCUUGACGGUACCUAAUCAGAAAGCCACGGCUAACUACGUGCCAGCAGCCGCGGUAAUACGUAGGUGGCAAGCGUUAUCCGGAAUUAUUGGGCGUAAAGCGCGCGUAGGCGGUUUCUUAAGUCUGAUGUGAAAGCCCACGGCUCAACCGUGGAGGGUCAUUGGAAACUGGGAGACUUGAGUGCAGAAGAGGAAAGUGGAAUUCCAUGUGUAGCGGUGAAAUGCGCAGAGAUAUGGAGGAACACCAGUGGCGAAGGCGACUUUCUGGUCUGUAACUGACGCUGAUGUGCGAAAGCGUGGGGAUCAAACAGGAUUAGAUACCCUGGUAGUCCACGCCGUAAACGAUGAGUGCUAAGUGUUAGGGGGUUU
rnacentral:rRNA from 1 species